UUAUUUUUCCUUUUAGCCAAAAAUCGUAAAAUCUGUAUUGAACCAAAUUAAACACUGAACUCUCUCUCUCUCUACUAAAUUCAUCACCCACCUCACUCUAUCUCUCUCUACAAAUUUCUACUUCACUUUGCACCCUAAUUAUCAAUGCUCUACUUGAAUCUCGUAGCUUCGUUACUCAAUUCCAAGUUAUCUUCUCUAUUCUCUCAUCUCUUUUUUUUUUUUUGGAUUUAUUUUGCAUGUUCUUCCAAUUCUAAAAUAAAAUCAUUUGUGGUAUGGGUUUUUUUUUUUUUUUUUUUUUGAAUAAGUAUGGGCUCUGAUUUCUUGAUAUUCCUUUUUUUUUUUGUCUCAAUAUUUUUACAAUAUCUGCUUGCUUAUUUUGUUGUUGUAAGAAUUGGGUGGAAUUACUUCGAUUUAGUAAAUAUCUAGCGGAAAGGUGUGAGCUUUACUGUUUUCAAAGUUAAUGCCGUGUCUAAUGUUGGAUUGUUCUGAUUUUGUUGUAUAAAAUGAGCUUGUGAGACACGAUUAUUUCUCUCAAGAAUCUAACGAAAUUAGGUUUUCUUUGCUCUUGGAAUUUCCUUUCUUUUGCUUCUCAUUUGUGUUUGUUUAUUCUUGUUCUAAACUCGUUGUCCAUGGUGAAAGCUUGAAGCAUUGUCAACUCUCAAACGCCUCAAUUCGUUGCUCGUCGAAAGGUGUCGAAAAUGAAGAAAGGGACGGAGACAGUGAAGACAUUGAUCUUACUUGAGAAGAUCUUUUAUGAAGAUUUCUACAUGUUCUAAGAAUCUUUUUGCUAUCGAACAUUUUGAAACUUAUCCUAAAUCUUGAAAUGUAAAACUUAAUUAUGCAUUUUGGGUUGAACAUUUUGCUUUUACGGGUAUAUAUGUUGGAUUAGGAAUGUUGGAUAUUUUGGAUUAUGAAAAAUUGUGUUUUCUGGUUUA